rnacentral:rRNA from 1 species
UACGUAGGGUGCGAGCGUUGUCCGGAAUUAUUGGGCGUAAAGAGCUCGUAGGCGGUGUGUCGCGUCGGUCGUGAAAACUUUCAGCUUAACUGGGAGCUUGCGGUCGAUACGGGCAUCACUGGAGUUCGGCAGGGGAGACUGGAAUUCCUGGUGUAGCGGUGAAAUGCGUAGAUAUCUGGAGGAACACCGGUGGCGAAGGCGGCAUCCUGGACCGGCAUUGACGCUGAGGCGCGAAAGCCAGGGGAGCAAACGGG